CCCUUAGAUGUUCUGGGCCGCACGCGCGCUACACUGACGAAUGCAACGAGCUUAUAACCUUGGCCGAAAGGUCUGGGUAAUCUCCAAAUUUCGUCGUGAUGGGGAUAGAUUAUUGCAAUUAUUAAUCUUCAACGAGGAAUGCCUAGUAAGCGCAAGUCAUCAGCUUGCGUUGAUUACGUCCCUGCCCUUUGUACACACCGCCCGUCGCACCUACCGAUCGAAUGGUCCGGUGAAAUCUCGGGACGGCGGCUUGGUCGCUUGCGUCCGACUGCUGAAACUUGAUUAAACCAUAUCAUUUAGAGGAAGGUGAAGUCGUAACA
rnacentral:rRNA from 1 species